GAUGAACGCUGGCGGCGUGCCUAAUACAUGCAAGUCGAGCGAACGGAUGAGAAGCUUGCUUCUCUGAUGUUAGCGGCGGACGGGUAAGUAACACGUGGAUAACCUACCUAUAAGACUGGGAUAACUUCGGGAAACCGGAGCUAAUACCGGAUAAUAUUUUGAACCGCAUGGUUCAAAAGUGAAAGACGGUCUUGCUGUCACUUAUAGAUGGAUCCGCGCUGCAUUAGCUAGUUGGUAAGGUAACGGCUUACCAAGGCAACGAUGCAUAGCCGACCUGAGAGGGUGAUCGGCCACACUGGAACUGAGACACGGUCCAGACUCCUACGGGAGGCAGCAGUAGGGAAUCUUCCGCAAUGGGCGAAAGCCUGACGGAGCAACGCCGCGUGAGUGAUGAAGGUCUUCGGAUCGUAAAACUCUGUUAUUAGGGAAGAACAUAUGUGUAAGUAACUGUGCACAUCUUGACGGUACCUAAUCAGAAAGCCACGGCUAACUACGUG
rnacentral:rRNA from 1 species